AUUGAACGCUGGCGGAAUGCUUUACACAUGCAAGUCGAACGGUAGAGGGGGCAACCCCUUGAGAGUGGCGAACGGGUGAGUAAUGUAUCGGAACGUGCCCAGUCGUGGGGGAUAACGUAGUGAAAAUUACGCUAAUACCGCAUACGAUCUACGGAUGAAAGCGGGGGAUCGCAAGACCUCGCGCGACUGGAGCGGCCGAUAUCAGAUUAGGUAGUUGGUAGGGUAAAGGCCUACCAAGCCAACGAUCUGUAGCUGGUCUGAGAGGACGACCAGCCACACUGGAACUGAGACACGGUCCAGACUCCUACGGGAGGCAGCAGUGGGGAAUUUUGGACAAUGGGCGAAAGCCUGAUCCAGCCAUUCCGCGUGCAGGAUGAAGGCCCUCGGGUUGUAAACUGCUUUUGUACAGAACGAAAAGGUUUCUAUUAAUACUAGAAGCUCAUGACGGUACUGUAAGAAUAAGCACCGGCUAACUACGUGCCAGCAGCCGCGGUAAUACGUAGGGUGCAAGCGUUAAUCGGAAUUACUGGGCGUAAAGCGUGCGCAGGCGGUUAUAUAAGUCAGAUGUGAAAUCCCCGGGCUCAACCUGGGAACUGCAUUUGAGACUGUAUAGCUAGAGUACGGUAGAGGGGGAUGGAAUUCCGCGUGUAGCAGUGAAAUGCGUAGAUAUGCGGAGGAACACCGAUGGCGAAGGCAAUCCCCUGGACCUGUAC
rnacentral:rRNA from 1 species